GGAGAUAUGGCUCAAGUGGUAGAGUAUCUGCCUAGAAAGCACAAAACCCUAAAUUAAACCCCAGUAUCACCC
rnacentral:tRNA from 1 species